rnacentral:misc_RNA from 1 species
ACACCUCAACUCCCAUGGUUCGCCAUGGUGAGCUUGGACUCUGGGGGUUUUGCUGGCCUGCGGUCAGCUCCUCUCAAAUGAAUCAGCUCGCCGGUGUUUGGUGGCGUCACAAGUGUGAUAACUAUCUACGCCUGUGAUUGUCCACCAGGUAACCUUCAGCAAUGGAGGUUCACUGGGGCUCACAGACGUCUCUCCUCGGUGAGGACAGCUUUGAAC